UAAAUAUUUAAGAAAGAAUGACCUAUACUUAUAUACAAUAUUUAAAAUAUGACGUUAAAACGUUAUUGAAGAUCAAAUCAAGAGACAAAUUUCCGGGGUUCAUUUGGGAACUUAUUUGAAAGGUGAAAUUAAUAAUUGACCAUUAAUAAUGUAAGAUUCUCAAUAGCAUAUUUAUAUGAUAUGUAGAUUAUACUCCAAAUCAAUAUACAGUUUUCAAACGUAAAUGCAUUUUAAUAUAGGAUGUCAUUAAAAAGGAGGGUCUUUCUUAUAUAAAAUCUCGCAAAAUUAUGACCCAUAUUUUUGGCACAUCCCCGUAUACCCAAUAAUUGAAAGCUACCCCCCCC
rnacentral:lncRNA from 1 species